UGGGGAAUUUUGGACAAUGGGCGCAAGCCUGAUCCAGCCAUGCCGCGUGCAGGAUUAAGGCCUUCGGGUUGUAAACUGCUUUUGUACGGAACGAAAAGGUGCCUUCUAAUAAAGGGCGCUCAUGACGGUACCGUAAGAAUAAGCACCGGCUAACUACGUGCCAGCAGCCGCGGUAAUACGUAGGGUGCGAGCGUUAAUCGGAAUUACUGGGCGUAAAGCGUGCGCAGGCGGUUUUGUAAGACAGAGGUGAAAUCCCCGGGCCCAACCUGGGAACUGCCUUUGUGACUGCAAGGCUGGAGUGCGGCAGAGGGGGAUGGAAUUCCGCGUGUAGCAGUGAAAUGCGUAGAUAUGCGGAGGAACACCGAUGGCGAAGGCAAUCCCCUGGGCCUGCACUGACGCUCAUGCACGAAAGCGUGGGGAGCAAACA
rnacentral:rRNA from 1 species